rnacentral:rRNA from 1 species
GAUGAACGCUGGCGGCGUGCCUAAUACAUGCAAGUCGAGCGAACAGACGAGGAGCUUGCUCCUCUGACGUUAGCGGCGGACGGGUGAGUAACACGUGGAUAACCUACCUAUAAGACUGGGAUAACUUCGGGAAACCGGAGCUAAUACCGGGUAAUAUAUUGAACCGCAUGGUUCAAUAGUGAAAGACGGUUUUGCUGUCACUUAUAGAUGGAUCCGCGCCGCAUUAGCUAGUUGGUAAGGUAACGGCUUACCAAGGCGACGAUGCGUAGCCGACCUGAGAGGGUGAUCGGCCACACUGGAACUGAGACACGGUCCAGACUCCUACGGGAGGCAGCAGUAGGGAAUCUUCCGCAAUGGGCGAAAGCCUGACGGAGCAACGCCGCGUGAGUGAUGAAGGUCUUCGGAUCGUAAAACUCUGUUAUUAGGGAAGAACAAAUGUGUAAGUAACUAUGCACGUCUUGACGGUACCUAAUCAGAAAGCCACGGCUAACUACGUG